rnacentral:siRNA from 1 species
UACCCAGAAUGUUCAUGCUGC